AUCUUGGCUCAGGACGAACGCUGGCGGCGUGCCUAAUACAUGCAAGUCGAGCGAAUCUUUGGGAGCUUGCUCCCAUUGGUUAGCGGCGGACGGGUGAGUAACACGUGGGCAACCUGCCUGUAAGACUGGGAUAACUUCGGGAAACCGGAGCUAAUACCGGAUAAUUCUUUUCCUCUCAUGAGGAAAAGCUGAAAGUCGGUUUACGCUGACACUUACAGAUGGGCCCGCGGCGCAUUAGCUAGUUGGUGAGGUAACGGCUCACCAAGGCGACGAUGCGUAGCCGACCUGAGAGGGUGAUCGGCCACACUGGGACUGAGACACGGCCCAGACUCCUACGGGAGGCAGCAGUAGGGAAUCUUCCACAAUGGACGAAAGUCUGAUGGAGCAACGCCGCGUGAGCGAUGAAGGCCUUCGGGUCGUAAAGCUCUGUUGUUAGGGAAGAACAAGUACCGGAGUAACUGCCGGUACUUGACGGUACCUAACCAGAAAGCCACGGCUAUCUANCGCCC
rnacentral:rRNA from 1 species